rnacentral:rRNA from 1 species
CGACCUGCUAAAUAGUUGGACGAAUCCUUCGGGAUUUGAUUCUUUUUUUAAACUUCUUAGAGGGACUAUCGGCGCUUUAGCCGAUGGAAGUUCGAGGCAAUAACAGGUCUGUGAUGCCCUUAGAUGUUCUGGGCCGCACGCGCGCUACACUGAUACGUUCAUCGAGCUUACAACCUUGGUUGAGAGGCCUGGGUAAUCUUUUGAAACCGUAUCGUGCUGGGGAUAGAUUAUUGUAAUUUUUAAUCUUCAACGAGGAAUUCCUAGUAAACGCUGGUCAUCAGCCAGCAUUGAUUACGUCCCUGCCCUUUGUACACACCGCCCGUCGCU